AAAACAUGUUUGUUUGAAGAUAUAAAAAGUCUAGCCUGCCCACUGAUAUAAAAUUUUUAAGGGCCGCGGUAUUUCUGACUGUGCAAAGGUAGCAUAAUCGUUAGUUUUUUAAUUGAAAUCUUGUAUGAAUGGUUUGACAAGAAAAAAUCUGUCUUUAUAACUAUUUAUCGAAUUUAACUUUUAAGUGAAAAGGCUUAAAUAACUUAAAAAGACGAUAAGACCCUAUAAAACUUAAUAUUAAUUAGUUAUUUAAGUAAAAAUUUUAAGUGUAUAAAAUACUUAGUGAUUGGUUUUUAUUUUAU
rnacentral:rRNA from 1 species